AGUGAACGCUGGCGGUAGGCCUAACACAUGCAAGUCGAAAGGCAGCACAGUAAGAGCUUGCUCUUACGGGUGGCGAGUGGCGGACGGGUGAGGAAUACAUCGGAAUCUACUUUUUCGUGGGGGAUAACGUAGGGAAACUUACGCUAAUACAGCAUACGACCUACGGGUGAAAGCAGGGGAUCUUCGGACCUUGCGCGACUGAAUGAGCCGAUGUCGGAUUAGCUAGUUGGCGGGGUAAAGGCCCACCAAGGCGACGAUCCGUAGCUGGUCUGAGAGGAUGGUCAGCCACACUGGAACUUAGGCACGGUCCAGACUCCUGCGGGAAGGAGCAGGGGGGAAUAUUGGAGAAUGGGCGCAAGCCUGAUCCAGCCAUACCGGGUGGAUGAAGAAGGCCUUCGGGUUGGAAAGCCCUUUUGUUUGGAAAAAAAAGCAGCAGGUUAAUACCCCGCUGUUCUGACGGUACCCAAAGAAUAAGCACCGGCUAACUUCGUG
rnacentral:rRNA from 1 species